rnacentral:sRNA from 1 species
ACAUAAACACUAAAUAUGGCUUUCAUCAGGCUACUGACUACGGGUUUUGCCCUGUUUGCUAUUUUCUGUACUUUAUCAACAGUGGAAGCAGAAUAUCAGUGCGGAACCAGAUUUCCCAUGGCGGAAUGCACCGAUUCGGCAGAACAUUGUUUGUUUGGUGUCGAAGCAGGAGACGAUUUGUGUGAUGCCGGACUGGUCUGCUGCAGAAAAAUUGCAGUGUAAAUCAUCAUGUUAUGUUCCAUUAAUGAAACAAUCUCAGACAAUAAACUGAAAUUGAU